rnacentral:lncRNA from 1 species
CGCUGCAAAACGAAGUCCAACGCACAAGAGUCAAGAGUCAAAUUAAGUCCAAAGCAAGUCCCAUUUAGUUGCCUCGUUUUUGCGGCAGUGGUCAACGUUCGUCCAGCAGCGCUCAUCAACCACCUUGUCCUCGGGACGAUCGGGGUCAAACAUGACCGCUGCGCCGGAGGAAGUCAUCACCACUCGCUUGAUCUUCUCCUCGCUGCAAGCACGCAUCACAUUCUCCGUUCCAGUGAUUGCUGGGACCAACACAUCCUGGCAGAAAACAAAACUCGAAAUUUCUCAUCGCCCACGAGCAAAACCAGCUAGAUUCUUACAUCUGGGGUGUCAAACUUCCAGAAGAAGGGGCAGGCUGUGUGGAAGACGGCCUCACAGCCCCGGACUGCUGGGACAAUGGAAUCGUAGUCGAGAACAUCGGCUUUGAACAGCUUGAGCCUCUCCCCAGCUCCUGGGAGCUGCUUGAGAUGUCCACACUUCGCAUUGUUACCUGAUGAUUGGGUCAUUCAGAUUUCGGCUAUGGAUCAAAGGUAAAAGGGAGAAGUCUAUGCUUACUUGGGUCGCGCACGGUGCCGUGAACAGUAUAGCCUUUCUCCAGAAGCUGCUUUACAAUCCAAGAGGCAAUGAAACCCCCGGCUCCAGUCACACACACGACCUUCUUGCUUUCUUCCAUUGCCAUGCUCUUUGCUCUAUUUGCUACUUAUUUGCUCUAGCUUGCGCUGCUGUGUAUUUAUACACUCUAUCAAGUCUUCAAGAAUUUCCGCUUGCCUUCUGAGGAAGCAUCCUGGAGCGCUGUGGCGUCGCAACUGGAGCACUAUGGCGCCGGUCUCUAGGCUACUGUUUAACUUAAUUGAUUUUCUAUAGAUAGAUGGGGACGCUAUUAAGCGUGCUAUUUACCUAUUUAUUGUGGCUAAGUCAGAUGUCUGCAUCAUGUUGGUGGAGUUUUUGUAAAGUAGCAAUAGGCUCUUGCACCUUUUGCAGCUACUAUACUAAUUUCAGGUUAGAAUGGCGCUUUGAAGUUGCUGGUGGUGCGACGGUAGCAGCAAGGGAGGGUUCAAUUUUCAACCUUCUCUUGUAUUUUUACAUCCUCCGAAGACUAACACGUCGCACUCCACUAGGGCAUCCAACUCACUUGGACAAUUCCAUAACAAGAGCAAAAUAUAAGAGCUGCGUUCUCUUUGAGGAAGCAAGAACUUAAGAGAGAGAAGGUUAAGUGCGUUGACUUCACUCCUAAAGUGGAGUUGAGAGUCUUUAUCUUUUGCAAACCAAUAUGCACAUUCAUUCAUUUUCGUUUUCAUACAGAUCUAUAGCAAUAGUCCUUGAGUUCUUUCAUUUUCAUGGCAGAAAACCUCGUUCACGGAUGCUAGCAAUGGUGUCAAAGAGAGUUUGUUCAUAAGGUAUGAAUCCUCCAAUUAGCUCUGUAGUUUUCUUGUUUCCAAUCUUCUCGGGGGGGAUUCCAUCGUAUCUUCCGGCAUGAGGAAUUCCAACGCUCGUUUCAGGAACACCCCUACCCAUACAAAUCUCAUUACGCUUUGAACAAAACUGAACAAAAAGGAAUGAAAGUAAACUCACUCAUGGGCACAGCAGCGAAGCUGGGGGAACUUUUCCUUGACCGAUUUCAGGACGUCUCUGUGGGAAAUGCUCAGUGCAACGCAAAAGUAGCGCCCCAAAGCAGCCUCGUUAUCGACUGCCAAAAUGUGAGCUUUUGCAACAUCUCUCACGUCCACGAGAGGAAUGUAAGAAGUUGGCGAAAGAUUCCGGGAACCUGGAUCAUCACAAACGAGAUAAAUGUUUGUACGAGAAAACCAACGAAACCACAGUCAGACCUUCUACAACUUCCUUGAGAUAUUCACUGCUAGUGUUGAGGGUUUGUUGCAAGAGAGGACCAAACACGUAAACAGGGCACACCACAAGAAGUUUGAGCCCUUUCUCUUCGGCAAACUUCCAUGCCGUCUUCUCCGACUCCGUCUUGGCAACCAAGUACCACCGCUGCAAACCGAAGUACGAGUCAAGAGUCGAAUUAAGUCAAAAGCAAGUCCCAUUUACUUGCCUCGAUUUUGCGGCAGUGGUCCAGCAACUCUCAUCAACCACCUUGUCCUCGGGACGAUCCGGGUCAACCAUGACUGCUGCGCCGGAGGAGGUCAUCACCACUCGCUUGAUCUUCUCCUCGCUGCAAGCACGCAUCACAUUCUCCGUUCCAGUGAUUGCUGGGACCAACACAUCCUGGCAG